UAAAAGAAAAGGAAUCAUCAUUAAAAUGAUUUGCGAAGCACUGGUGUAUGUAAUAAAGAAAUUGAUCAUAAAUGGUAACACAAGGUUUCCAUAUAUAAAGGGGGCUCCAGGCUUCUGAGAAUAAGCACCAAGAUCAGUUUGUUCAACUGAACUCUUCUAGGCGGUGCUCCAGCAUGGUCACUGUCCUUUGC